GCUGUUAGAUCACGUUGGAAACACCGGUUCCUGUACGACUACCGAAGUUAACCAACGUCGAGUUUGGUCAGUACCUAGAUGGGUGACCGCUUGUAACUAUCAGGUGCUGUAA